rnacentral:rRNA from 1 species
UAUACCCUACGGGGCGCAGCAGUGGGGGAUAUUGGACAAUGGGGGGAACCCUGAUCCAGCGACGCCGCGUGAGUGAAGAAGUAUUUCGGUAUGUAAAGCUCUGUCAGCAGGGAAGAAAGCAAUGACGGUACCUGACCAAGAAGCCCCGGCUAACUACGUGCCAGCAGCCGCGGUAAUACGUAGGGGGCAAGCGUUAUCCGGAAUUACUGGGUGUAAAGGGAGCGUAGACGGCUGUGCAAGUCUGGAGUGAAAGGCGGGGGCCAAACCCCGGGGCGGAUCGGGAAAUGGAAGG